GUCUAUGGCCAUGCCACCCUGAGCAAGCCCGAUCUCGUCUGAUCUCAGAAGCUAAGCAUAGUUGGGCCUGGUUAGUACUUGGAUGGGAGACCACCUAGGAAGAUCAGGUGCUGUAGGCG
rnacentral:rRNA from 1 species